AUGGAGAUGAUGGAGGCGCGCGGCGACCUGCGAUCGAUCCCGGUGGUGCCGCGCGGCGGGGCGCUCUUCUGGCCGGCGGCGGCGCAGGAGCAGCUGAGGGCGCUGUCCCCCGGCCCCGACGUCAGCCGGGUCGCAUCCGACGCGCUCCACGACCUCCGGCAGGCCCUCGAUCGCCCUCCCCGCGCGCGCCGCCGAGGGAUUCGCGCUCACGUUCCUGCCGUAGCACCGCGCUCCCGGCGCUCCCCCGCCUCCUCCUCCGCCUCCCGAAGCUGCUCGACGACCACUACGCCGGCGCCCGGGCCGCGCUCGGGCUCCGCCUCCUGGUCCCCCAGGACGCGGGCGCCGUGCUCUUGGGCCAGGAGCUCGCGGCCCUGCUCUUCUGCCUGUUCCCCACCGCCGGACAUCAAUUUCGACGCCUUGUUCGCGGCACUGACUAAUAAUGUGAGGUGCCGGUUUUGUGUCGUUUGA
rnacentral:rRNA from 1 species